CGGUGUAUAGCUCAGUGGUAGAGCACGUGCUUAGCAUGCACAAGGUCCAGGGUUCAAUUCUCAGUACCUCCA
rnacentral:tRNA from 1 species